UACGUAGGGGGCAAGCGUUGUCCGGAUUUAUUGGGCGUAAAGAGCGUGUAGGCGGCUUUACAGGUCCGUUGUGAAAACUCGAGGCUCAACCUCGAGACGCCGGUGGAAACCGUAAGGCUAGAGUCCGGAAGAGGAGAGUGGAAUUCGUGGUGUAGCGGUGAAAUGCGCAGAUAUCAGGAGGAACACCCGUGGCGAAAGCGGCUCUCUGGGACGGUACUGACGCUGAGACGCGAAAGCGUGGGGAGCAAACAGG
rnacentral:rRNA from 1 species